rnacentral:tRNA from 2 species
GACAACGUGGCCGAGCGGUUAAGGCGAUUGACUAGAAUCUCGCUUCUAAGACUCGAUGCACCAGCAUCUCAUGUCUAUCAUCAAUUGGAGUUUCUCCGCGUAGGUUCAAAUCCUGCCGUUGUCG